UUGUUUUUUUUUACUUGUAUACUGUUUUAUUAUAAAACAUUUCAUGAAUAGUAAGAACUCACAAAUUAAGAACUUCAGAUAUAGACAUAACAUCAGACAAAGUUCAAGGCAAAUAGUCAAACACACUGAAAAAUGAAAGAGAAAAUAAAGAAAUUGCCUGAAAAUUAUCUGGAUUUAUUGAUCUAUGCUUUACGUCCAUCAGCAAAUAUCACACUCACAGUCAAAAUAUCACAUGCAUAAUAAGAAUGGUAGAAUAAUAACAGAAUUAGUUGAAUUAAAGUGGUCAUUUUGGUACAAACCUAUUUAGAGGGUAGAAUUUGAAAACAGAGCUCCAAUAUGUAAUUCUUGGAGGAGAACAUGUUAUAAUGUUCUUGUGAUAAUCAUUUUAUCAUGUUAAAUCAAAUGAAAUAUAAUCAAAGCAAGUGCAUUGUACAAAACUGGCUUCCAUCCUAUGGUAUGUUUAUAAGUUCACAAUUUAUAAUGUCAACUACAGUUUAAAAGUAACAAAUAUAUUUAACAUUAUAUAUAUUAUUUUAUAAAUUGUUUGUAAUAGACUAGCAUUUGUAAUAAAUUAACUUAUUAAAAAGAUUAUAUUUUUUUUCAUAAUGUCACAUUGACAAAACUUCCUCUUUACAGCAUUUAGCAUUUUCAAAAAUGUAGCAAGAUUUUUCAAAGUAUUUGAAUUAUUUGUAUAAAAAAGGCUUAUUAAUGUAUCUUUGUAACAGUUUAGUUACUUUGGCACCAUAAUGGUAAACAAAUUCUUCCUAUAUCAGUUAUGUUGCAAAUGUUAUAACACAUGUUGUUUCAAUUCCAAGUAUUUAUUAUUCAAAUAGCAAACCUACAUUUGAACAAAAAGAUUGUAUAAAGACCAAGCUUAUCAAAAAUCCAGUCCCAUACAAGAUGGAUUGUAUAAUCUGAUAUUAAAUAAUAUAUUUUUUAUAUUUCAUUGAACAGUAUUGUUUGCAGCAAGUCAAGGGAGACAAUAUCUUCUUCUUGAAUUUUUAAUAUAUGAUACAUAUAUAUUAGUGAGUUCUUAGCAAUUCUCUACUUUAAAUAAUUUAUUUUUAAUUUGUGAUUUUCAAUCUGUUAAACAGAUUGAAAUUUAUUAUUAUAUAUUAUAUUUUUGUAUUAGAAGAGGAUAUGCACCUUGAUAGGAUUUCUGACAUAUAAGUUAUUGCCUUAAGAAUGUUUAUGAAUUGAAUGAUUUGAUUACAAACUAGACAUUGUCUCAGUAAGCAUCUCAUAUAUAUAUAUAUAUAGGUCUGAAAUGUCAGAGCUGAAGUCUGUAGUAAUUGAUUAUUUUUUUUUAACUAUUUUGUUUAUUGAUAUUAUUUGUUUUUGUGUGAGAUUUGUAUUCCACAUUCCACAGCAUUAUAGCCUGAAUCUAAUUAAUGAACAUGUGCCACUGUUUUUUUAUCUGAAUAAAUUUGUCAGAAAAAAACAUUUAUUUAUGAAUCUGUUCAUUAAUG
rnacentral:lncRNA from 1 species